AUGAACGCUGGCGGCGUGCCUAAUACAUGCCAGUCGAGCGAACAGACGAGGAGCUUGCUCCUCUGACGUUAGCGGCGGACGGGUGAGUAACACGUGGAUAACCUACCUAUAAGACUGGGAUAACUUCGGGAAACCGGAGCUAAUACCGGAUAAUAUAUUGAACCGCAUGGUUCAAUAGUGAAAGACGGUUUUGCUGUCACUUAUAGAUGGAUCCGCGCCGCAUUAGCUAGUUGGUAAGGUAACGGCUUACCAAGGCAACGAUGCGUAGCCGACCUGAGAGGGUGAUCGGCCACUCUGGAACUGAGACACGGUCCAGACUCCUACGGGAGGCAGCAGUAGGGAAUCUUCCGCAAUGGGCGAAAGCCUGACGGAGCAACGCCGCGUGAGUGAUGAAGGUCUUCGGAUCGUAAAACUCUGUUAUUAGGGAAGAACAAAUGUGUAAGUAACUAUGCACGUCUUGACGGUACCUAAUCAGAAAGCCACGGCUAACUACGUG
rnacentral:rRNA from 1 species